UUAUGUUUGAGACAGAAAGGUCUCACUCUAUUAUCCAGGCUGAAGUGCAAUGGCACAAUCUCAGCUCCCUGCAACCUCUGCCUACCAGGUUCAAACGAUGCUCACGCCUCAGACUCCGGAGUAGCUGGGAUUACAAGCACGUACACCACACCUGGCUAAUUUUUUUUUUUUUUGGUAUUUUUAGUAGACAAGGGGUUUCACCAUGUUAGCCAGGCUGGUCUCGAACUCCUGGCCCCAAGUGAUCUAACUUUCUUCUUUUAUUAAAAAAACGAACGGCCGGGCGUGGUGGCUCACACCUGUAAUCCCAGCACUUUCGGAGACCAAGGCGAGUGGAUCACCUGAGGUGAGAAGUUUGAGACUAGCCUGACCAACGUGGCCAAACCAGGUCUCUACCAAAACUACAAAAAUUAGCUGGGCUUGGUGUUGCAUGCCUGUGAUCCCAGCUAUUCGUGAGGUUGAGGCAGGAGAAUCACUGGAACCCAGGAGGCAGAGGUUCCAGUGAUCUGAAAUUACGCCAUUGCACUCUAGCCUGGGAAACAAGAGUGAAACUCCAGGCUGGGCACGGUGGCUCACACCUGUAAUCCCAGCACUUUGGAAGGCCAAGAUGGGCAGAUCGCCUGACAUCGGGAGUUUGAGACCAUCCUUGCCAACAUGGUGAAACCCUGUCUCUGCUAAAAAUACAAAAAAUUAGCUGGGCGUGGUGGCGCACGCCUGUAGUCCCAGCUACUCGAGAGGCUGAGGCAGGAGAAUCGCCUGAACCCAGGAAGCAGAGGUUGCAGUGAGCCGAGAUCGUGCCAUUGCACUCUAGCCUGGCGACAGAGCGAGACCCCAUCUCAAAAAAAAAAAUAAUAAUAAUAAUAGUAAUAAUAAUAAUAGAAAUGAGGGUCUUAAACUCCUGGGCUCAAGUGAUCAUCCCACCUUGGCCUCCCAAAGUGCUCAGAUUACAGGUGUGAGCCACCGCACCUACCCAGCAAAUUUUUUUUUAUAAAAAGGUCAGCCGGGCGUGGUGGCUCACACCUGUAAUCCCAGCACUUUGGGAGGCCGAAGUGGGGAGAUCACGAGGUCAGGAGUUCAAGACCAGUCUGGCCAACAUGGCAAAACCCUGUAUCUACUGAAAAUACAAAAAUUAGCUGGGCAUGGUGGUGCAUGCCUGUAAUCCCAGCUACUCAGGAGGCUGAGGCAGGAGAAUCGCUUGAACUCAGGAGGCAGGGGUUGCACUGAGCCGACAUCGCACCACUGGACUCCAGUCUGGGCAACAGAGCGAGACUCCGUUUCAAAAAUAAAUAAAUAAAUACAAAAUAAAAGUUAAAAAAAAAAAAGGUCCAGGGCUGGGUGCGGUGGCCCACUCCUGUAAUCCCAGCACUUUGGGAGGCUGAGGCACGCAGAUCACGAGGUCAGGAGAUUGAGACCAUCCUGGCUAACACGGUGAAACCGAGUCUCUACUAAAAAUACAAAAAAUGAGCCGGGUAUGGUGGCGGGCACCUGUAGUCCCAGCUACUCGGGAGGCUAAGGCAGGAGAAUGGCGUGAACCUGGGAGACGGAGCUUGCAGUGAGCUGAGAUCACACCACUGCACUCCAGCCCAGGCGACAGAGCGAGACUCCGUCUCAAAAAAAAAAAAAAAAAAAGGUCAAGGCCAGGCACGGUGGUUCACACCUGUAAUCUCAGCACUUUGGGAGGCCAAGGUGGGUGAAUCACCUGAGGUCAGGAGUUUGAGACCAGCCUGGC
rnacentral:lncRNA from 10 species